rnacentral:rRNA from 1 species
GACGAACGCUGGCGGCGUGCUUAACACAUGCAAGUCGAACGGAAAGGCCCUGCUUUUGUGGGGUGCUCGAGUGGCGAACGGGUGAGUAACACGUGAGUAACCUGCCCUUGACUUUGGGAUAACUUCAGGAAACUGGGGCUAAUACCGGAUAGGAGCUCCUGCUGCAUGGUGGGGGUUGGAAAGUUUCGGCGGUUGGGGAUGGACUCGCGGCUUAUCAGCUUGUUGGUGGGGUAGUGGCUUACCAAGGCUUUGACGGGUAGCCGGCCUGAGAGGGUGACCGGCCACAUUGGGACUGAGAUACGGCCCGGACUCGUACGGGAGGCAGCGGUGGGGAAUAUUGCAGAAUGGGCGGAAGCCUGAUGCAGCAACGCCGCGUGCGGGAUGACGGCCUUCGGGUUGUAAACCGCUUUCGACUGUGACGAAGCGUGAGUGACGGUAAUGGGUAAAGAAGCACCGGCUAACUACGUG